GAGGUGUAUAGUUCAGUGGUAAAGUAUUCGACUGCAGAUUGAGAGGUCUCCGGUUCAAACCCGGAUGUCCCAUUCUUCA
rnacentral:tRNA from 1 species